rnacentral:rRNA from 1 species
GACAGAGGGUGCAAACGUUGCUCGGAAUCACUGGGCGUAAAGGGCGUGUAGGCGGGAAGGAAAGUCAGAUGUGAAAUCCCUGGGCUCAACCCAGGAACUGCAUUUGAAACUCCCUUUCUUGAGUACCGGAGAGGAAAGUGGAAUUCCUGGUGUAGAGGUGAAAUUCGUAGAUAUCAGGAGGAACACCAGUGGCGAAGGCGGCUUUCUGGACGGUAACUGACGCUGAGACGCGAAAGCGUGGGGAGCGAACAGG